CCACGGUGGGCGCCAAUUGUUUAAGGUGAGUUUGGUCUCGGUGAAGUAAACAAUACUAAAAAUGGGUCGAACAGAGGCGUUUAUUAGAUUUCGAGAUGAUGUUACAAAGGUGGAGAAAGUAAAAGCAGGCCGGAGCUCGUGAGAGCUUAAACCGGAAAAGUACAAAUAGCAGAGAGAUGAUUGUACGGAUGAUAAACCCUAAUCUCGCCGCUAAGUUUGUGUAGCUCAGUGUUGAUCAUCUUUCUCCUUUGCUUUCCUCUCCUUUUAUACUCUGUUCGAUUACCUUAACCUAAUCUCUUUUUACUGAUUGGGCUUUGUCGGCCCUUCGGGCCUGAUUAUGAGGCGCUCGUUCCGAGCCGUUUAGUCGAUCAGCCUCGCUUCGCUUGCUCUCCGCUUCGACUAACGGCGCUUCCUGGUUAAGUUGAAGCCUCGAGAAUCGGCUUCUGCGCCGACGUCGACUCGGUUUGCUGGAUUGGGCCUUUUGUUCGAUGGGCUUUGUGGAUGGGUUAAAUCCAUCCCCAACAA
rnacentral:lncRNA from 1 species